UUGCAAAUGCUUUCUAAGCAACAAGCUAAGG
rnacentral:piRNA from 1 species